ACGGAAGGCAGCAGUGGGGAAUAUUGGGCAAUGGGGGAAACCCUGACCCAGCAACGCCGCGUGAAGGAAGAAGGCCUUCGGGUUGUAAACUUCCUUUACCAGGGACGAAAUUUGACGGUACCUGGAGAAAAAGCAACGGCUAACUACGUGCCAGCAGCCGCGGUAAUACGUAGGUUGCAAGCGUUGUCCGGAUUUACUGGGUGUAAAGGGAGCGUAGACGGCAUGGCAAGUCUGAAGUGAAAGCCUGGGGCUCAACCCCGGAACUGCUUUGGAAACUGUUAAGCUAGAGUGCAGGAGAGGUAAGUGGAAUUCCUAGUGUAGCGGUGAAAUGCGUAGAUAUUAGGAGGAACACCAGUGGCGAAGGCGGCUUACUGGACUGUAACUGACGUUGAGGCUCGAAAGCGUGGGGAGCAAACAGGAUUAGAUACCCUGGUA
rnacentral:rRNA from 1 species